UAGAAGUGCUUCGGGAGCCGGUGACAGGUGCUGCAUGGCUGUCGUUCAGGCUCGUGUCGUGAGAUGUUGGGUUAAGUCCGCACAGCGCAACCCCUAUCUUUAAUUGCCAUCAUUCAGUUGGGCACUUUAAGAGACUGCCGGUGUUAAACCGGAGGAAGGUGGGAUGACGUCAAGUCCUCAUGGCCUUUAUGCCCAGGGCUACACACGUGCUACAAUGGGUGGUACAAAGAGAUGCAAUCUCGCAAGAGCAAGCAAACCUCAAAAAGCCAUCCUCAGUUCGGAUUGGAGUCUGCAACUCGACUCCAUGAAGUCGGAAUCGCUAGUAAUCGCGGAUCAGCACGCCGCGGUGAAUACGUUCCCGGGCCUU
rnacentral:rRNA from 1 species